AUUGAACGCUGGCGGCAGGCCUAACACAUGCAAGUCGAACGAGUGGCGGACGGGUGAGUAAUGUCUGGGAAACUGCCUGAUGGAGGGGGAUAACUACUGGAAACGGUAGCUAAUACCGCAUACCAUCGGAUGUGCCCAGAUGGGAUUAGCUAGUGGGUGGGGUAAAGGCUCACCUAGGCGACGAUCCCUAGCUGGUCGGAGAGGAUGACCGGCCAAACGGGAAUUGAGACACGGUCCAUACUCCUACGGGAGGCAGCAGUGGGGAAUCUUGCACAAUGGGCGCAAUCCUGAUGCAGCCAUGCCGCGUGUAUGAAGAAGGCCUUCGGGUUGUAAAGUACUUUCAGCGGGGAGGCGUUACCCGCAGAAGAAGCACCGGCUAACUCCGUGCCAGCAGCCGCGGUAAUUC
rnacentral:rRNA from 1 species